ensembl:lncRNA
AUGCCCUCCUCCAGGGGAUCUUCCCCACGCAGGGAUCGAACCCGCGUCUCCUGUGUCUCCUGCGUUGCAGGCGUGUUCUCUCCCCGCUGAUCCAUCGGGGACGCCCUGUGGCAGAAAAGCAGGUCCUUGUGCAGGACCAGUCUCCCGCAUUUUCAUGGCUGGAAGACCACGGCAGGGAACCCGCAGUGUUUUGCUGGGACCAAGGGAUUUGGGCACAGACUGACCUACCUGAAGUCUACCAAAACCCUCCUGAAGAAAGAUCCCUUCCCGUCGUGGCUGGGACCUCUGCCAUUGGGGUCCUCCCUCUCCUCUUCCUCCUCCUCUUUUUCCUCUGCUUGUGCUGCUGCGGAGGUCAACACGGC